AGUGAACGCUGGCGGCAGGCCUAACACAUGCAAGUCGAGCGGCUGAAGAGUGCGUGCUCCUUGAUUCAGCUGCCGACGGGUGAGUGAGUCCUAAGAACCUCCCUAUUAUUUUGUUCUAGCGUCCUGAAGUGGGCACAAUUACCCCAUAAGCCCUGACGACGAAAGGGUGGGAUCUUGGGACCUUACGCUCUCAUGCGAUCCGAUGUCGGAGUAGCUAGUUGGUGGGGUAAAGGCCCACCAAGGCGACGAUCCGUAACUGGUCUGAGAGGAUGAUCAGCCACACUGGAACUGAGACACGGUCCAGACUCCUACGGGAGGCAGCAGUGGGGAAUAUUGGACAAUGGGCGCAAGCCUGAUCCAGCCAUACCGCGUGGGUGAAGAAGGCCUUCGGGUUGUAAAGCCCUUUUGUUGGGAAAGAAAAGCAGCAGGUUAAUACCCCGCUGUUCUGACGGUACCCAAAGAAUAAGCACCGGCUAACUUCGUG
rnacentral:rRNA from 1 species